UCCAAUACUGGAGGUAUAAAUUGUAUAGAGACUUCUAGAGAGUUCUAAUUUGUUUCAUGCAUUUUUUGCAGAUUUGACUCCAGAGUGCAUUAUCACAGUGUUGACUGUGUGUAAGCAUUGUGUAUAUACAUAGGAAUGUUGAAACUUCUUCAAUAAACGAAGAGAUGUCCUUUUUGUACAUCUGCAUUUGUAAAAGAGAUUUCUUAAGAUCUUGGCUGUUUGGGUAACUGCUUAUGUGCUGGUGACCCAUUGUGGUUUUUUGAUUGAUCUUCUCAAAAGAUAGGCUGUUCAUCAUGAUAUUUCAGAUGACCACAGUUAUAAAGCUGGGUGCACGUAGUGACUGACCAUAAUGAUAUGUGUUUAUACAUCCCUUUUUGACCUAUUUCUUCAUGAAUAUCUGCUCAUUACUCUUAUGUUCAUGUGACUGCCCUUAGUAGACCUGAGUGUUUAUGCUUGCAAAUUAUGUAUGUUAUUAUUGCCUAUUGUGUAAAGUGGUCUGUGAAGUGUUCUGCUAUUUAUUUUAAUUUUUUUGAGACACAGUCUUGCUCUCUGUCACCCAGACUGGAGUGCAGUGGCCUGAUCUCUGCUCACUGCAACCUCUGCUUCCCAGGCUCAAGCAAUUCUCCUUCCUAAGCCUCCCAAGUAGCUGGAACUACAGGCAUGCACCACCAUACCGGAUAAUUUUUUGUAUUUUUAGUACAGAUGGGGUUUUACCAUGUUGGCCCAAGCUGGUCUCUAACUCCUGGCCUCAAGUGAUCCACACAUCUCAGCCUGUGUUCUGUUAUGUUUUUAUAUGUUCCUCAAAUAAAUCCCAUUUUGAAAAUGUAAAUAUCUUUUCAAUAACUUUUUAAAAUUAUUUUUUCCAGAGUUAUAUUUUCAGGAUUUUAAUCUCUCAGUAUUUCAACAUUCAGGAUUAUAGUGUUUGGGAUUAUGGUGUUUGGGAUUGUGAUUGGCUCCCAGUAAAGCACAGGGCUAAUUAUCACAGGUGAGCAACAGAAAUGUUCAAAUACAGGUGGCUGCUGCGUGCUUGCAGUGUGGCUCUCACAGAUUGAGAUGUGCUUAAAAUACACACGGGAUUUCAAAGACUUGGGUGAAAAAAGUAAAAUAUUUCAAUAUAUUUGUAUAUGGAUACAUGUUGAAAUAAUAAUGUUUUGAUGUAUUGG
rnacentral:lncRNA from 1 species